rnacentral:tRNA from 1 species
GGCGGGGUAGCUCAGUUGGUCAGAGCGAAGGAAUCAUAAUCCUUGAGUCGAGGGUUCGAGUCCCUCCCCCGCUA